rnacentral:rRNA from 1 species
GACGAACGCUGGCGGCGUGCCUAAUACAUGCAAGUCGAACGAACCGCGACUAGGUGCUUGCACUUGGUCAAGGUGAGUGGCGAACGGGUGAGUAACACGUGGGUAACCUACCUCAUAGUGGGGGAUAACAGUCGGAAACGACUGCUAAUACCGCAUAGGACAUAGGAUCACAUGAUCCAGUGAGGAAAGGUGGCGCAAGCUAUCGCUAAGAGAUGGACCCGCGGUGCAUUAGCUAGUUGGUAGGGUAAAGGCCUACCAAGGCGAUGAUGCAUAGCCGACCUGAGAGGGUGAUCGGCCACAUUGGGACUGAGACACGGCCCAAACUCCUACGGGAUGCAGCAGUAGGGAAUCUUCCGCAAUGGACGCAAGUCUGACGGAGCAACGCCGCGUGAGUGAAGAAGGUCUUCGGAUCGUAAAGCUCUGUUGUUAGAGAAGAACAGCGCAUAGAGUAACUGUUAUGCGUGUGACGGUAUCUAACCAGAAAGCCACGGCUAACUACGUG